rnacentral:rRNA from 1 species
AUGAACGCUGGCGGCGUGCCUAAUACAUGCAAGUCGAGCGAACGGACGAGGAGCUUGCUCCUCUGACGUUAGCGGCGGACGGGUGAGUAACACGUGGAUAACCUACCUAUAAGACUGGGAUAACUUCGGGAAACCGGAGCUAAUACCGGAUAAUAUAUUGAACCGCAUGGUUCAAUAGUGAAAGACGGUUUUGCUGUCACUUAUAGAUGGAUCCGCGCCGCAUUAGCUAGUUGGUAAGGUAACGGCUUACCAAGGCAACGAUGCGUAGCCGACCUGAGAGGGUGAUCGGCCACACUGGAACUGAGACACGGUCCAGACUCCUACGGGAGGCAGCUGUAGGGAAUCUUCCGCAAUGGGCGAAAGCCUGACGGAGCAACGCCGCGUGAGUGAUGAAGGUCUUCGGAUCGUAAAACUCUGUUAUUAGGGAAGAACAAAUGUGUAAGUAACUAUGCACGUCUUGACGGUACCUAAUCAGAAAGCCACGGCUAACUACGUG